CUUUUUCAUACAACUCUCUCUCUCUCUCUCUCUCUCUCUCUCUCUUGCCAUGCCCGGCCGUCGCCGUCGUCGGUCGAUCUCCUCCCCUAUAGCUUCCCUCCUAGUUUCCUUGCAACAUCGGCUUCGCCUCGCUCCGGCGAGCCCAUUUUUCCUGUUUCCCCCUUCUCCCCCACCCCAUAGCAACCACCACUGCCACCUCUCUUUGCCGCCGAAGACAAGCUCUUGACUGCGCCGUUCCGGCCAACUCCUUCACUCUCUCCAACAGCCACCGCCCUCCCCGGGUGUGUCUUGCUCGGGAACAUGUGUGGCCGCUGACGUCGCCGCCUUCCAACCGCCGGAAAACCGGCGCCCACUCUCUCCCUCUCCUCUGUAACCGGCAGGAAGAAGGAGAAGAAGAGAGGAAGAAGAAGACGAGAGAAGGAGAGAGAAAAAGAAAAGAAAAAGGAAAAGCAUUGACAGUAGAGUCUAUUUUGGAUGGCAGCCUGUGAUAUUUCGAGAAUCGGAUAAUCAGGUUGCCUAUCUCGGAUUUAUUUGCGUUGGAGCAAGGCAAGUUAUUAUUCCUCCCCUUGAACAUAAUUACCCUAUAUUCUAUAUUUCUAUUCUAUGCAUUAGCCAUUCAUGAUUUUGAAUGCAUAACCUAAACAUAUAGCAAACCAGAUAUGCUAACUUUUGCUCAGCCCUGCCUAGUUAGACUGCAUAAAAAUAUAAUGAAUUUAGAUUGGGACAGUACGUAAGAUUUGGUUGAUUUCCGGGUGGCUAGUACUGUCUCAGUAGAUAUAAGUUUACCAAAUACUUAUGUCAAACGAACGAGUACGACCGCAGCUUCUAGAAUGGGGACAGACCUAGAUAUUAUGUUAAUUAACAAUGUGGUACCUCUGUACAGUGGUUCCUUUUGUAAGUCCUCGCGCAGGAGGCAAUCUUAUGCCGAGCAGGGCAUCUUAUGAUAUUUACCGAGGCGCAGGUAAAUAUACUAAUUUUCGCUCAUGAGCUGUGUGUGAUUUUAUGGAAACCUGGUUGAGAUGACAUGGGGUCUCUCAUCCAGUUCUCUCUAAAAACCCCGGGAACGCCAGAACUCCUCUCGCCGCUGAUAACAUUACGUUCAGAGCGCAUGGGGAGUAGAGUUCAUGGAAUAGGUGCCACUAUUGUUAAUAACCUAAUACUGGGCCAUGACUAAGCUAAUGAAUAUUGGCAAGUCGUGGACUGUGGGUAAAGCGUACAUCUACUGCAGUAGAAUAUUUAUGAAACUAUUCGAAUAGCCGUGCUCACGAAUUUGAGCAUCGGGACUCAUAUGGUAUUUGGUUAGAAACUUAAUUCCAGAUUUUAUUAAAUACUGUUGCAUCAAACACAUUGCAGGAUUUCUCCUUCUAUAUUCUCUGCUUUCUGCAAGUAAUCAUAGCUCUACUCAAAUACUACUAAUUCAUACAUUCAUAUUGAAUAUAAUAGCUUGCUGAGUACAUUGUACUCACCCUUGCUUCAACCCCCUUUUCAUAGUCAUUUUGGAGUUCUUAUCGAAGCCGGGAAUUCAAUCACAUAAGUUAGUUCCCUUUAAACCUAGUCUUGAAAUCUAGUAUUGUUAGAUGGUUUAACUCUAUAGCAAAACAUUAGAGUUGAUUUAUUCUAUAGCUUAUGCUAUAUUAGUUAGCCACAAGUUUGUAAAUACCCAUGUAUCUUAUAAUAAUAUCUCCUCUAGAGCCUUGUUCAAAUGUAUGCAAUGAAGAUCCAGAUUGUUGAACCUGUAUCAA